rnacentral:lncRNA from 1 species
GGAGAAUUUGCUAAUUUAACUACUGUUUCAUGCAAGUGUACACACUGAAAGAAUGGUGGAAUUCAGUGAGUGAACUCAGUUCUGAUUGACUUUUUAUCUUGAUGCUGCCCUAAGAUGCUGGCAAGAGUAACCCUACCGCUUGCUCCAUGCUUACCACAUACAAAAGGGCCUUGCAAAUCAGAAACACACAACACAGAUUUGGGAACACACGGACACGUCUGCUUCUUGGAACUUAGCAGGGGCACAGAAGGACUUGUAUCCUUAAACAUCCACUGUGUGGCUAAUAUUGUUCGAGCUCCAGGGAGCCAUGUCUUCACAUCUCUUCCUAUUUCCGCAGAAUAAAAGACAACUGUGUUGGAAGAUUGCCAAAGUUUGUAGCUGUGCCACUGCAGACUUCAGAGAUGAACGCUGCCUUGGAGACAGGGAGGAUUCAAGUUGCAGAAGCACUUAGAUAGGCUCUUGCUUUGUUGCCCAGGCUGCAAUGCAGUGUUGCAAUAAUAGCUAAUGCAGCCUUGAUCUUCCAGGCUCAAGUGAUCCUCCUGCUUCAGCCUCCUGAGUAGCUGGGCCUACAGGUAUGUGCAACCAUGUCUAGCUAAUUUUAAAAGAAAAUUUUGUAGAGAUGGGUUCUCUCUAUGUUGCCCAGGCUGGUCUUGAACUCCUGAGCGCCACCUAUUCUACCACCUUGAUCUCCCAAAGUGCUGGGAUUACAGGUGUGAGCUACCACAUCCAACCAAAAACACAUUUAUUUUUCUCCUUUUCAGCUGACCUCCCUAGUUUUCAAGUCAUUGGAACUUGGAGGCCCACGUUGUUUCACAUGCAUGUUUCAGAGCCGGAGACCAUCGUGAACAUCAGUAUCAGUUGGAAUUGGAAGAUUUCGGGAAACUCUGGACUGACAAUGUGGCUGCAACAGCUUUCACAUUGCUCUUCUGGAAGAUUCCAGAGAAAGUUGGCCAAAUCCAGAGAAAACAAUUACACAGAGUGAAAACUGAACUGGGUAAGGAGUGGGGAACAAUAAAGUGUUGAAACUGGACUUGAGUGGCGGAGGCUCCAGGAAGGCUUUUGCUGGUUUGGUUCUGCCACCAUCCUUACUGUCUGCAGGGAUGUUGUGCUGGGUAUUAUUACCUUUGCUGGGCUGGCCAUAACUGAAGGUGCAGGCAGCUUUCUCCUGUCUACUGACCAUUCAUCCCAAGGGCUUACCUUCGCACGGUGAUGACUGCAUCACUUCCUGCUCUGUAAGCUUUCUGGUUCAGCAUCUUUAGACCUUCACCACUCUGCUUGCUCAUUUGUUCAAUUUGUUUACUCAUUUAUUUAUGUAUUUAACAAACGUGCUGAUUUCCUAUCAUAUGCCAGAUCAAUCUGACCACUCGGGGACAUUUCUUGCCAUGACUAGUUCUGAGGUUCUUUUAUUUAUUUAAUAAAUAUUAAAGCAAUUUCAGUAGCCAUACAGCAAGUACUACCGUGGUGCUAGCUUCCAUGGAAGCCUUGGGUUCUCCAC